rnacentral:rRNA from 1 species
GACGAACGCUGGCGGCGUGCUUAACACAUGCAAGUCGAACGAAGUGGCGAACGGGUGAGUAACGCGUAAUCAACCUGCCCUUCAGAGGGGGACAACAGUUGGAACCGAAUGCUAAUCCCGCAUACUGAAGGAGGGGAUUGCGUCUGAUUAGCUAGUUGGAGAGGUAACGGCCCACCAAGGAGAUGAUCAGUAGCCGGUCUGAGAGGAUGAACGGCCACAUUGGGACUGAGACACGGCCCAGACUCCUACGGUAGGCAGCAGUGGGGAAUCUUCCGUAAUGGGCGCAAGCCUGACGGAGCAACGCCGCGUGAGUGAAGAAGGUUUUCGGAUCGUAAAGCUCUGUUGUAAGGGAAGCGGUAUCUUACCAGAAAGCCACGGCUAACUACGUGCCAGCAGCCGCGGUAAUUC